CCUUGGUGAUGUGACUCUUCUCUCCUGCUGAAGCCAUGCCCACACAAGGGAAAGUGACUUAUCACUGGGCCCAGCACACAGGUGGAUGGUGACUCUAAGACCAGGAUUCAACACAACUAGAAGGCUUUGACUCUAAUACGAGUCACAGAAGGCUCUGCGACUCUUCUAUUUUCUCUAGGUUAUGCAAAUGGAGGUGGAUUGUGACAUAUCAUAGGGCCAACACAACACACAGUCUACAGGUGGAAUUGGGACUCUCAUGCAUGGAUCCAGUUCAUCAUUGAUACUGUGACUCAGGUGGGAUUUUGACAUAUAACUGCACCCAGCACACAGGUGAGAUUGUGACUCUUGUAUGCUCAUCCUGCCAAAAGUUGAGUGUCACCCUCACACAUGGACAGAGACUUCUGGUAAGGUCUUGAAUCUUGUACAUGGACACAGUCCACAGCUGGAAUGUCAUAUGUAGAUCCAGCCACAGGUGUGAUGUUGACCUAUUUAUAAAGUUAGCUCACAGGCACAUUGAUAACUCUCAUACCUGGAUCCAGCCAAUAAAAUAUAUGUUGACUAUUAUAGCUAGGCUUGAGUAAACUGGUAGGGUCCUGGGUCUUCUACCUGUAUGAGAGUCACAGAAGAUUAUGACACUUAUGGAAAUUACAUAAAGCCCUCUGGCAAUGCAAAGUUUUAUCACGGGGCCCCACACGCAGGUGAGAUUGUGACUUCAAUAUGCAGACAAAGCUAACAGUUAGUAUUGUUACCUUCACAUAUAAACAGAGCCCACUGGUGAGGUUCUAAAUCUCACACACCAAAAAAAUUCACAGUUGGAAUUGUGACUGAUAUGUGAAUCUGCCCACUGAUGGAAUGCUGACUCAUUUCUGGAUUCAGCUUAGAAAAAUGGUGAUGACUGUUUCACCUGGACUCAGCCAAAUGGAGAGAUGUUGACUCUCUUAACUAGGUGUGAUGGUUAAUACUGAGUGUCAACUAGGCUGGAUUGAAGGAUACAAAGUAUUAAAUCUGGGUGUCUCUGUGAGGGUGUUGCCAAAGGAGAUUAACAACUGAGUCAGUUGGCUGGAAAAGGCAGACACACACUUAAUCUGGAUGGGCGCAAUCUAAUCAGAUGCCAGAGUGGCUAGAAUGUAAGCAGGCAGAAAAAUGUGAAAAGAGUGACUGGUCUAGCCUCUCAGCCUACAUCUUUCUCCUGUGCUGGAUUCUUCCUGCCCUUGAACAUCAGACUCCAAGUUCUUUAGUUUUGGAACUCGGAGUGGCUCUCCUUGAUUCUCAGCCUGCAGAAUGCCUAUUGUGGGUCUAGUGAUUCUGUGAGUUAAUACUUAAUAAACUCCCCU
rnacentral:lncRNA from 1 species